rnacentral:rRNA from 1 species
UACGGGGGGAGCAAGCGUUGUUCGGAUUUACUGGGCGUAAAGGGCGCGUAGGCGGCCUCUGCAAGUCGACUGUGAAAUCUCCGGGCUUAACCCGGAACGGUCAGCCGAUACUGCAGGGCUAGAGUGCAGAAGGGGCAACUGGAAUUCUCGGUGUAGCGGUGAAAUGCGUAGAUAUCGAGAGGAACACCAGUGGCGAAGGCGGCGAUCUGGGCAGAUACUGACGCUGAGGUGCAAAAGCGUGGGGAGCAAACAGG